rnacentral:rRNA from 1 species
ACGGCCACACCUAGGCGAAAACACCAGUUCCCGUCCGAUCACUGCAGUUUUGAUCUGAAGGUCUCGUUAGUACUAUGGUUGGAGACAACAUGGGAAUCCGGCGUGCUGUAGGCU